UGCAACACAAAAAUAGACACAUCCGAAUAGGUCAAAACUCAAAUAAUACACAUUCUACAAUCAUGACAUUUUAAAUUGUUUUCAAUGGAAUUGUUGCAAUACCUUUUUCCAGGUAUAUAGUGUUACCCAUAGAAAGGUCGAGGUUGUCCGUUUAUCUUUUCAUAUCUAACAAAUAAUGAACGAACCAUUGUGUGCAGGACUGCCCAAGUUGUCACUCUUAAAACAGACUGACAUUAUACAGGGUGUGACUAAUCAUCAUAGACAGUGCGUUUUUUUUUAUAGACGGCCCGAAUUUGUCUUGAUAUAGUUAUUCAACGGUUGAUUAAUUAAUAGAGAAUAAAUAUCUGAUUGAACGGGAUAAAUUGUUCUUAAACUGUUAGUGUGAUGACUUAGAUACAUUACUUUUGAUACACAUUACACUAUUAUGAACUUUUUUUAUUUGAUAAAACGUUUAAUUUUUGACAGUUUUUAUGUACUUUCUAAUUUUUGAAUAUCCAUCGAAGCUGGGUAUUAU
rnacentral:lncRNA from 1 species